rnacentral:rRNA from 1 species
CAAUAGCGUAUAUUAACGUUGUUGCAGUUAAAAAGCUCGUAGCUGGAUUUCUGGAGGGAGCGUCGGCCCGUAUUUACGAGUGCGUGACGUCUCUGUCCAUCCUUGCGGGAAGGCACGGCAUUGAUUUGUUGUGUCGGAUCGCAUCAUUUACUGUGAAAAAAUUAGAGUGUUCAAAGCAGGCUUUCGCUUGAAUACAUUAGCAUGGAAUAAUAAGAUAGGACUUUGGUGCUAUUUUGUUGGUUGAGCCUAAAGUAAUGAUUAAUAGGGAUAGUUGGGGGCACCUGUAUUGCGUUGUCAGAGGUGAAAUUCUUGGAUUUACGCAAGACAAACAGCUGCGAAAGCGUCUGCCAAGGAUGUUUUCAUUAA